UACGUAGGGAGCAAGCGUUGUCCGGAUUUAUUGGGCGUAAAGAGCUCGUAGGCGGUCCGGUAAGUCCGCUGUGAAAGUCGGGGGCUCAACCCUCGAAUGCCGGUGGAUACUGUCGGGCUAGAGUGCGGAAGAGGCGAGUGGAAUUCCUGGUGUAGCGGUGAAAUGCGCAGAUAUCAGGAGGAACACCUAUUGCGAAGGCAGCUCGCUGGGACGUAACUGACGCUGAGACGCGAAAGCGUGGGGAGCAAACAGG
rnacentral:rRNA from 1 species